rnacentral:rRNA from 1 species
GCCGAUUAAAGUGGUACGCGAGCUGGGUUCAGACCGGCGUGAGCCAGGUCGGUCCCUAUCUGUUGUGGGCGUCGCAUGUUUGAGUGGCUUCAACUUUAGUACGAGAGGAUUGAGUUGGACGAACCCCUGGUGAUCCAGUUGCAACGCUCGUUGCACCGCUGGGUAGCUACGUUCGGCAGGGAUAAACGCUGAAAGCAUCUAAGCGUGAAGCCCCCCACGAGACUAGACAUGCUUGUCGCAAGACGAAAGACCCCUGGAAGACCACCAGGUUGAUAGGCCGCACAUGCACGGGCUGAAAGGCCCUUAGUGGAGCGGUACUAACGGUCGAACGG